AUUGAACGCUGGCGGCAGGCCUAACACAUGCAAGUCGAACGGUAACAGGAAGCAGCUUGCUGCUUCGCUGACGAGUGGCGGACGGGUGAGUAAUGUCUGGGAAGCUGCCUGAUGGAGGGGGAUAACUACUGGAAACGGUAGCUAAUACCGCAUAAUGUCGCAAGACCAAAGAGGGGGACCUUCGGGCCUCUUGCCAUCGGAUGUGCCCGGAUGGGAUUAGCUUGUUGGUGGGGUAACGGCUCACCAAGGCGACGAUCCCUAGCUGGUCUGAGAGGAUGACCAGCCACACUGGAACUGAGACACGGUCCAGACUCCUACGGGAGGCAGCAGUGGGGAAUAUUGCACAAUGGGCGCAAGCCUGAUGCAGCCAUGCCGCGUGUAUGAAGAAGGCCUUCGGGUUGUAAAGUACUUUCAGCGGGGAGGAAGGGAGUAAAGUUAAUACCUUUGCUCAUUGACGUUACCCGCAGAAGAAGCACCGGCUAACUCUGUG
rnacentral:rRNA from 1 species